GGGCUUGACAUCCCACGAACCUGCCCGAAAGGGUAGGGUGCCCGCAAGGGAGCGUGGAGACAGGUGGUGCAUGGCUGUCGUCAGCUCGUGUCGUGAGAUGUUGGGUUAAGUCCCGCAACGAGCGCAACCCUCACCCCUUGUUGCGACCGGGUAAAGCCGAGCACUCUAGGGGAACUGCUAGCGUCAAGCUGGAGGAAGGCGGGGAUGACGUCAAGUCAUCAUGCCCCUUACGCCCUGGGCUACACACGUGCUACAAUGGCCGGCACAAAGGGAUGCAAGACCGCGAGGUGGAGCUAACCCCAAAAAACCGGUCUAAGUUCAGAUUGCAGUCUGCAACUCGACUGCAUGAAGGAGGAAUCGCUAGUAAUCGCGCAUCAGCCCGGCGCGGUGAAUACGUUCCCGGGCCUUGUACACACCGCCCGUCACACCACGAAAGCUUACUGUACUCGAAGUCGCUGAG
rnacentral:rRNA from 1 species